AUUGAACGCUGGCGGCAUGCCUUACACAUGCAAGUCGAACGGCAGCACGGGAGCAAUCCUGGUGGCGAGUGGCGAACGGGUGAGUAAUAUAUCGGAACGUGUCCAGUCGUGGGGAUAACGUAGCGAAAGCUACGCUAAUACCGCAUACGAUCGUAUGGAUGAAAGCGGGGGAUCGCAAGACCUCGCGCGAUUGGAGCGGCCGAUAUCAGAUUAGGUAGUUGGUGAGGUAAAGGCUCACCAAGCCGACGAUCUGUAGCUGGUCUGAGAGGACGACCAGCCACACUGGGACUGAGACACGGCCCAGACUCCUACGGGAGGCAGCAGUGGGGAAUUUUGGGACGAAUGGGCGCAAGCCUGAUCCAGCAAUGCCGCGUGCAGGAUGAAGGCCUUGGUUGUAACGUAGCUUUUGUUACGGACGAAAGGUUCUAUU
rnacentral:rRNA from 1 species